AAAGCUUUUGUGAUCUGCAGUU
rnacentral:miRNA from 10 species